rnacentral:misc_RNA from 1 species
UCAGUCAACAAGCUAAUUUCCAUGGAAACAGAAGUCCAAAGACGGAAAAAGAAAAGUCAGAAACGAAAGAAAAACCAGCAGAAGGAGAACCAUGAUGAACCAGUUCCAAAGAAAAUAAAGAAAGAGAAUUCAGCACCUGACACUGGAAAACAAAGCACUGAUGAAAAGGCAAAUACUCGGACUGUAGUAAAUGGGAAGACAAAAAAGGAGAAAGGACUCACAAAACUAAAAGAAAAGUUACUGGGAAAGCGUAAAAAGGAAACAACUGCUGAGCCUUCUAAAAAGUCCAAACAAGCAGAUUUGACCUCUGUAACUGCCGGUGUUGAUACGCCAGUACAAGUUGGUAAUAUAAAGAGUAAAAAAGCAACAACACCUGCUAAAAACUCAAAUAAAAAGGAUGCUGCUGUUUCGUCUGUUUCUUCAACAGCUAAAAAUGCAAGGACUUUACAAUCAACUGAAAGAGGGGUGAAAGACUUUGAUACACCAGAAUUUGAAGUAGGUGAAAGUGCUAGUGUUAAUUCAAAUAAAACGACAUCUGUACACAAACAUGUCGGGUUGGACACACUGGAACUCAAACACAUUCAUGACCAAGAAGGAAGCCACGACAAAAGGGUGAAGAAAGAUGCCUUGGAAGAGGAAGUUGAGAUAUGGAUACCCAAUAAAAAAUACACGGGAAAACUGAAGGGAAUUCAUGAACAACUAUUGAAAGGUACAGAGGGCAAAAAGUUUGCUCAGUUUGAACAUGGAGUCCACACCCCUCCAGCCUUCAUUAGGAGGUCAUUGGCCAAGGUGGCAGCACCAAACACAGACCCAGGGAAGGCAUCAAAGAGAGUAUUGGGGAGUGAUGCAGGGGGUCAUAGCUCUAAAAGGAAAGUCACAUUCGACAUGAAGAAAAACAAAGCUGUUGAUUUUAAGAAGAGUAUUCAGUUCAGCCCUGCUCCUUAUAAUCCGAACAAGAAACCUGAGCAAGGGAUACUAAAAACACCAGACAGUUCAUCCCAGAAAACACCAAAAUCGAACGUUACUAUAUCAACACCUGAUGGUGUGACAAGUGUUUCAUCACAGAGGAUCUUGCGACAGGCAACCCCGCACGUAAAUAAAGGACGCGUGGUGCAGAGAACGCCAUCUAGUGUCAAAAAACUGAGAACACCUGUGAGUUCAAAGAAAUAUACAGGGACACCAGUUCCUAGAAAAAACACUCCCGUGAUGAGUUUAAAGUCCACCCCUCGCUCAAAGGCAGCUGAUUUCUUUUGAGUUAAGAUAUCAAUGUAUUUGUAUAUUUGAGGUUGUCUCAAUUCUUACAUUUAAUAAAAUUCAUUAUCGAUGAUUGAGAUGAACUGGAAUCAGUUACAUUAACUGAUUACGCUAAAAUCAAGUGAUCCUUGUUUGAGCUACAUUUUUAGCAAUCACUAGUUAUCGAUGGUAAUAUAAUUCAUUUUGGAUACUUUCAUUGCAGCCAGAUAUUAGAAGUAUUUUUUUUAAGCUGUAUUAUUGCAAUUCAUAAGUUCUUUUCAAUGGUUUUCUCUUUUGUAGACCCAGUUUUACUUACAUGUAAAUUAACAGCUGCAAAAUCAUUUUGUAAAAAUAUUACCAACUGGUAUAUAUUUGUACAUACUAGUUUACAUUUUAUAAUGUGUUUUCAUUUGUCAAAUCCAUCAAAGUUGCAAGUGAAAUAUUUAUUUUGAUACAGAUGACAUUUCUAUGCUGUAUAAGUAAUAUCAUAAAUAAAGGUGAAGCAAU